rnacentral:ribozyme from 14 species
AAAAACUUUAUACAAAAAAUAAAAAGGAAAAAGAACUUCUGUUACUUGCUUGUUUUUUUUUGUUUUUUUUUUCUGGUUUCCUUAA